rnacentral:lncRNA from 1 species
AAUAGAGUCAUAGAAGCCAAGGAAGGAGUGGGACCCAAGACAGAAGGAAUCACUAACCACGUCAAAUGCUAUGGAAAGGGCGAGCCCUGAAGAAGGGACCAUUGGAUAAGUGAGAGCAGGGCAUCACUCCGCACUGGGCCAGCACUUCCGCUGAAGAGGGAGGGCAGGAAGCGCAGUGAUGGGGACCACGAAGCAAACAGGUGGUUAGGUUUGGGGAGCAUCACGUAUAAACUCCACCGCCCCCCCUCCCCCAAUUUUAGUGGCAAAGGGGAGAGGAGAGAGGAGGCGGCAGCUUUCUUCAGAGGGUAGCGGUUGUGGAGGGAGGAGUCCCCUGAGGAAGGGAUGGCACCAGCCUGGAGUGGGGGAGUGGGGUGGCUUUACGCUGUGUCAACAGGCUGAGCUGGCGCAGCGUCGCCCUUUGCAGUCCUGGGUUGGAGUUGGCCAACAGAGAAAUCUGCGCGUGGUUUGAAAGGUGCAGGUGAAGCUCAGCCGGCGCUCUCUGAGAGCUCUUCCUCCUGCCUGCCUGCCUGCCUCACCAACAUCAUCCCAGGGCCACAACCUCGGGGAAACCGUCUUCUAAAGACUCUUCCAUCAGCUCUCCUUUGCAGACCCACUCCAGCAGCUGGAUGUGCCUGGCUGCCCUAUUCCUUUAUGAGCUCCAGCUUGCCCACUCAUUCCAGUGUUUCAGGAGCGCCGUGUCUCAGGAAACCGCAUUUCCCAGCUUCCAAAUAGGCCUGCCCGCUGCAUGGUGCUAGUAGGAGACUGGGUUACUACUUCCGCUCUUCCAUCACCUUGGGAUGAGGUCCCUGUGUUAAGUUCCUUCUGUUGGAAGUGCUGGAGUGGGUUUUGUUUCCUUGACUGAGACGCUUGUCUGUCCGAUGGCACUGGUAUUGCCUACCUCCCAGAGUUCCUGUGAGAUGGAUGUGUCGUUGUGGUGUGGGGAGAAGGAAGGAAGCAGUAAUACCCCUACCGGCUUCACAACGUUGUCGCGAGGACUCAGUGACCCCC